rnacentral:misc_RNA from 1 species
UUUUUCUUUUCCCUCCUCUAAAGAAUGUCGUCGAUCUGUUGUUGCGUAUACCUUUGAAGAAAAGCAUACAAUUGUAGUAAAAAUAUUGAAUUUAUUCCUGCUUCUAAUAUCUAACCAUAUCGUACGAGAUGUGAGUAUUGCGUAUGAAAAUCCGAAAUGGGCAUUCAGAGCGUUGAGAAGCAAUAACGAUCACAGUGAGGUCAAUGGUCAAUGUGUCAAUGGAAAACGAUGUGUUUACGUUCGGAAGAUAGAGACGCGGAUCAUAAAAACGAUGUCGCGAUAGAGAUAGGCAGUUAGUCACUGUUGGACGCUCGAAAUAGACGUGCCGUCGUCACUCGUGCAGAAGAUUGUUUCAAGGAUCUCUGGUAGAUCUUGCAUUCCGCAUUCCGCAAGGACAACUGUAAUUUCAGCAUUCGUAGAUGCCGCACCGGAGGCUCCGGUUCAGGCCUAAUAAGGCCAGUUUGAAGAUUUGAAGCAAAGCGUGACUGGCCUUGUCUGCAAGUCGUUUGGAUCUGCUGGAGCUUGCGACCACGCGAUAGCUGCGGUUACCAGGACGCAGUUUCGACGGACGCCGAUGCCGCACCGGAGGAUCCGGUUCGGGCCGAGCAGAGUCGGCUUGAAGAUCCGCAGCAGAACGCGGCUGACUCUGUCUGCUGUGUAUCGGGGGAAGCAAAGCGCGUGAGCAUCACGAG